AGUCCACGAUGAGGUCAUUUUUUAAACUUCUUCUUGAAUCUCUCCCAAGCCUCACUAAGUGUCUUAUCUUCAAACGGAUGAAAAACAACUAUUUCAUUUAUGAACC